rnacentral:rRNA from 1 species
GACGGAGGUAGUAAUACGUGGGUAACCUGCCCUCUUCUUUGGGAUAAGCCCCGGAAACGGGGUCUAAUACCGGAUAUUCUGCUUCUGCCGCAUGGUGGGGGUUGGAAAGGUUUUUCGGUGGGGGAUGGGCCCGCGGCCUAUCAGCUUGUUGGUGGGGUGAUGGCCUACCAAGGCUUCGACGGGUAGCCGGCCUGAGAGGGUGACCGGCCACAUUGGGACUGAGAUACGGCCCAGACUCCUACGGGAGGCAGCAGGA